CUGCCGGCCAAGCCCGCUACAGUCCGGCGUCCAGGGCAGCUGUUCUCUUUAUACCCAGGACGAGAGCAGAAGAAUGGUGUCCUGCAAAACAGAAGGGCACAGGGUCCUUAAGAGCCCCUGGCAAUGGGAAAUACAAGUGCUGCCAUACCCUGAACUCAACUGUCAACCUUUUAAACUUCCGGCUGAAUGGGCGAAGAGGAGGCGGGUCAGGUGCCGGGAGGGCCAGUUGGCACGUUUACCUCCAGACACCAUUUCCAAGGAGGCAUUAGCAGCUUCCUAUCUGAACAAACAGGAAGCCUAUUAAAAACGCCAUUGUCCUUUCCCGCCUGUGCUGACAAGACUGUUAAAUGCCAAGUCUACAGAGCUUUGCCAAGUUGAGAGACCCAGGGGACGUGCAGCUGCUGGGGCCACCUGUGUCUGUCUGAGUCCAGCUGAGAGAUUUCCUCUUUGGGCACCCCAUUGUGGAGUGACGGGUCCCACGGAGUGAGGGGCAGGCAGAGGACUGAAGGAGGGAGGGGUGGAAGAGAGCGGUUCGCCCGUUGCCGACGGCUGAGAGCACGCAGCCAGUUCCCCUUCUCGCUCUGCUCUGCUCAGUCAGGAAUUCGGCUCUGCCCGCCACCCGGGUCUCGGAAACGUUCUGGCUGGGAAUCAAGUCCAAGAUGAAACACCUGCCUUCCACUGCCGUCCCACACGCACAAUGCACCACAUGCCAGUUGGCAGUGGAGCGAAAGAGGCCCAUUAAAGAAAAGUUCCUGACAUUAUUAAGAAGUGCAGUCCUGCCAUUGUGCGUGCAUGCUCUCUCUCUCUCUCACACACGCUCUCUCUCUCACACACACACACGCACUCUACAGGCCUCUAAAGCUUUGUGCAUGUCCCAUGUCCCUGGCUACUUCACUGUCAAUCAAACACUGAAUAAGAGAGAGAGCCCUCUCCUCUGUGGAUAACAGGUGUUCUUCUAAGAGGGAGACGGGAGGAUCAGACAGAGAGAAGGAGAUGUGACCACGGAAGAAGAGGAUGGAGCCAUGUUGGGCCACAAGCCAAGGAAUACAGGAAGCUUCUAGAAGCUGGAAAAGGCAAGGAAAUGGAUUAUCCACUAGAGCCUCCAGAAGGAAUGCCGGCCCACCGACACCUUGAUCUUAGCCCAGGAAAACUGAUUUGGGACGUCUGACCUCCAAAACUAGGCUGGGCUAGCCUUACUACACAUGGAGGAGGUCGGGUGGCACUCAGGAUGCUGAAAGAACAAGAAAUAUGGCACUAAAACUAGAAGUGGAUUAUGCUACUUAACGGCUGAAAACUGAGGACUGGAAACUUGUAUCUCUACCUUCGAUCUGUGUUGUCAAGCAUUGAUCACUUGAAAUGCGGCUAGUGCAGCUGAAGACUGGAUUUUCAAUUCUGUUUAUUUUAUGAAAUUUAAGCUUAAAUCUUAAAAUGAUACACACUUGACUUAUUGGGAAGCUUUUAAGUAUUUUAGAACAACUUGGCCACAUGAAUCUACUUUUUCAAUUGUACGUUUUAUAAAAUCUAAAUACAGAUUAAGCAUUUCUGAUAAAAAUUUAGCGUCUAAAUUGAGAUGUGCCAGAUUUUGAAGACUUAGUAUGAGAAAAAGAAUAACAUAUCUCAUUAAUAAUUUUAUAUUAAUUGUGUGUUGAAAUAAGAAUAUUUUGGAUAUAUUGGACUAAAUUAAAAUAUAUUAUUAACAUUAAUUUCACCUGUUUCUUUUUACCUUUUUCUGAUAUGGCUACUAGAAAAUUUAAAAUUAUGUAGUGGGCCACAUUGUUUCCAUUGGCCAGCACUGCCUUGAAUGAUCAUUGUUAUUCUUCCUAAACACAUCUUGAGCAAGAUCGGAAAUUUUUGAUCACUUCUUAUGAACAUGUCUUCCAAUUUUUUUUUCCCCAGGAAUAUUAGCCCUGAACUCACAUCUGCUGCCAAUCUUCCUCUUUUUGCUGAGGAAGACUGGCCCUGAGCUAACAUCCAUGCCCAUCUUCCUCUACUUUAUAUGUGGGACAACUGCCACGGUAUGGCUUGAUAAGCAAUGUGUAGGUCUGUGCCUGGGAUCCAAACCAGUGAACCCGGGGCCCCGAAGCGGAAGAAUAGAGUGUCUCCAUGCCACCUGCUCAUCACCACUCUGCACUCUGAUCUUGAUUUAUUAAGUGGAGCUCAAACCAUUGCUCUUUACAGAAGAUCUAUAGCUCAGAGAUGCUGAACUACACAGGAAUUGAAACAAGACCGGGAAGAGCGGAAGGAAACGGCUUAUCUCUUCGACAUCUUUUUCCAAUUGUUAGUUCAUUGUUUUGGGUUGUUAAUGGUAAGACAGAAAAAAGUAAAGAGAGAAGGGCGGGGGCAGACCCGGGCUCCACACUGCCUUCAGCCGUUUAACUUCUGGCUUCAUUCCCUUUUAUGAACUGCAUUUACCCUCCCUCACUUGCUCUCUUGCAAAACAGUUGCAAAAGAACGUUAACAGGAGGAGGAUCAAGGAUCUUGUUUUCUUUUCAUUCUUUUUGAUUUAUGUUCCUUUGUCCUGAAAGCUCCUGUAAUCUCCCGCGUCUUCAGAUCCAGUUUCCUGCUGACAGGGUGAAGGCUGCAAAAACUCUCCGGGCUUUGAGAUAAAGCAUCCCAAGCUGGAUCAGGAGCUACGCAUACUUUCUCCCUCGAGCCUUCUCUUAAAUGUUUGGAACUCUAGAACUCCUUCCUUGAGAAUGAGGAAAAGCAAACAUCACAGGUUGUGACUUUGGAAGCCUGUAAACCGAGCUUUUUGUUGACUCUGGUGGGAGUAAGGCCUUGAACUGCACUGGUCUGGUAAUUUCUUUACUGCAGCGGACAUUCACUGAGCUGCUACUAUGUGGCACCAGCCAGGGCUGCAGGCGAGGCACAGAGAAACCUGAUGGGGUCCUGCCUACAGGAGCUCGCUUGUAAAACAGUCGGAGGCAAAUACCAGCAGUCUUCUAAGACCCCACAAUACACUGCGUCAGAUAACCCUGCUCGACACUCUUCCAGCAGCCUGUUGCUUCCUGGUAUCUUACAUUAAAAAAAUACAUUUAUACAUUUACUUCUGUAAUGAUUACUGUCUUGCUUUCUCACUUGUUUCUAAGCUCUGUGAGCUCCAGGAGGGGAGGGCUGUGUCUAUUUUGAUCAUCGUUAUGUUCUCAGCCUCAAUCUGGCACAUUCUUGUGAAAGGUGACCUGAGUGGAGCCACAUUAAAAUAGAGCCAGAGCAGCCAUUUCAGAGGACUCGCCUUGCAUGUCUUAUUUUAUUUCUCUUCCAAAGUGGAC
ensembl:lncRNA